GCAGGUUCAAAGGAGCUCGAACAAAGAGUUAUAUGUUUAUUAAUAAUAUUGAGAGUUAAUAAUUUAUAAGCUUUAUUCUAAAGGAGGUUGUUAAACCUUAAACGGGGUUAAAAGAAUAAUAAUGUGUAAUAAUUUUUAUUAGAUUAUCGAUACAAGUACUUCGUUGAAGAUCCAUGAGCCAUAUGAUCCUUCAUGAUCCUAAGUUUCUUAUAGGAGUAGAGUGGAAUGCCUUAAGAAUUCUAUGAAAUUGAAACCUUCAAACCUGCACCUGCAAAAUGUGGAAGUCUUGGAUAAGAUUUUCAUCCCGAAAUCGGAUGCCCAGCAAGUCGUCAGCUGGAGCUGCUGCUCCUCCAUCGGAUACGAUAUACAUCUAUUGGAAACUACUCCCGUUACGGAUGUUGCAUGUUGUACAAGUGCUUGGUAGCUUCAGAUCGCAGUCGGAAUCUCGGGGCAGUGGCUUUAGUCCAGGCGGAGUGACAGGCGGUGGCUACCAGCGGGCAGCUGGAAAUUUGAUACGCCAUUUGCUGCUCGGACUAAUCCCGAUUUCGCGAUUCUACCGCGAUGCACACUGCCCACUCUGGGCUGGCAUUUUCCAAUUAACUUCGCAUUAGCCACCGCCCAAAGUUGAGUUAAGUUGAGUGUUUAUUCAUAUUUCUGCUGCUGCCGAGGCAGCUGCUGCCGGCUGUCAGUUGGAGCCCAUGUAACGUCAUCCUGUAACAUGACAGAAGCGGCCUAAUCCUCCAGCCACUAGCCGCCAGCCACCAUCCACCAUCCACACCAUUGGAGUUAGCUGCCUGCAAAAUUAUUAACGCCAUUAACGGCAAUAGAAAUAUUUGUGCAGGCCGGGCCAAGAGCCCCCCAGACCCUUCCAAAAAAAAAUAAAUAAAAAAAAUAGCCACCUUCCUCCGGAAUCCAGUGGAAACGGGUUCCAAAGAGGAAGAGGAGAAAAUUACAAGUCAUGGCUACAAGCGCCUGCGACUGUGGCCCACAAAUGUGACUAAUGGCAUUUCUGAAUGCAGAUUCAACCAGAGGAUAUAUUGGAGAUCGGGACAGGAAGGGGCGAGGAGGCUGGCUGACUCCUUUGCAGUUCUUUAAGUUUAUAGGAAACAAUUUUUAACGCCUUGCCAGGAAGAUCAAGAACAGAGAGAGAACAGGCUAAGAUAUCUCUUCAAAAAGUAUAUCUACAUAAAAAUGUUAAAAAUUAAAAUAUUUAAAUAUAUUCUCCCUGUGUAGUUGAUUCCAUGUGCGUGUGCUUUUCUGCAGCGUCAUUAAUUUUGCCAUGAAUUGACAAAAACAUCAUAAACUACUUGUUGAACAGAAAAUCCACUUCGGGCGACAGCAUCCCAGCGUCGCAGCAACCCAGCCCACGCGCCAACCGAAGCCAAUCCGCGAGCUGAGCCGGGAAACUAGGAGUUGGGCAAUGGUUGAUGGGAGAUUGGAGCUAGGAGAUGGAAGAUGUAAGAUGCAAGAUGGGAGUCGAGCCGCGAUGCCGUUGCCGCCCGGCCGGCUCAUGUUCGAUGCUUCAGUGCGUCUGUGGGGAGCGGCUGGCUCAUAAAUAUGCCAAUGACUUGGCCCCCAACCAUUGAUCCUUCUCCCGUUCUCUUCGAUCGUUUUGGUGACCUGCACCUGGAGGGCUUAUUCCAAAUUAAUGAGCUCGAAGAAUGCAAUUUUCGCGAUCACGCAAAGUGGUGCGGAGGUGGAACGGAGGUGAUUACUGAUAUGGCUCUGGCUUUUCAAGGAGGCUGGCAUUCCACUUAUCGUGUUUGCUUACAAUGUUGUUAAUAUCUUGACAUUUUGAGUUGUAACUUACUUUAAUUUCUUGACUUUUAAGAGUAACACUUUUAAGAGAAACUAUAAAAAGUUAGUACAGAAAAUCAUUGAUUUUCAGAGAUAGAAUUUACAUUCCUAAUUGGUGGAACCAUCCUGAAGACUAAGAGAACCAGACUGAUUCUAGACAGAGUGAUUUGCAUUCUAAAUUGGUUGUAGAAUCCUUAAUUGAGGUUCAUCCCUCAUCCUGACCCACACGGCGUAUGCUCAAUGUUAAUUAACGUAAUGAUGGCAGGAAAACAAACGCUCUACAAUUUAAGUCAACAAACACUUACAAACAGGCAACAGCAAUUGGAUUUUUAAUGAAUUGCAGAGCCCAGUCUAUAGUCUUCCCCUGCCCAGCUCGGCCCGGAGAUUUCCAAUCCGGAAAACAAGUAGCCGACAGCGGAGAACCGGGUAAAAAGUGCAGGAUCGGAUAACACAAGCUCUACAAUUAGUACUACAUGCAACUGCAACUGCAUCUCCAUCGUCCAUCGGAGGAUGGAUCCAAAAACGGGCAAGUGACCAGCCAGCAGUUCGUACAUUCGUGCAGCGUUGGGCAAUGAUCCCCCCAAAAUUGGCGUGCAGCGGAAAAAUGAGACAA